rnacentral:tRNA from 2 species
GGGGAGUUAGUCCAAAAUAAGACUCUGAUUUCGGCUCAGAAGAUCGUGACUAAACCCACGACUCCCUU